AACUUUCGGAAACGGAUCUCUUGGCUCUCGCAUCGAUGAAGAACGCAGCGAAAUGCGAUAAGUAAUGUGAAUUGCAGAAGUCAGUGAAUCAUCGAAUCUUUGAACGCACCUUGCGCUCCUUGGUAUUCCGAGGAGCAUGCCUGUUUGAGUGUCAUUAAAUUCUCAACCUCUCCAGCUUUUUGGCUGGGUGAGGAUUGGAUGUGGGGGCGGUGCUGGCUUCGUCGAAGAGGUCGGCUCCCCUUAAAUGCAUUAGCGGGAACGUCUUGCGGACCGUCACUUGGUGUGAUAAUUAUCUACGCCUCAUGACUGCGAUGCUCUUGUUCUGCUUCUAACCGUCCAUCGACUUGGACAAGCUUUUUGACAAUUUGACCUCAAAUCAGGUAGGACUACCCGCUGAACUUAAGCAUAUCAAUAAGCGGAGGCU
rnacentral:misc_RNA from 1 species